rnacentral:tRNA from 1 species
GCAGUUGUGGCGGAAUGGCAGACGCGCUAGAUUCAGGUUCUAGUGCCCGCUUAAGGGCGUGUGAGUUCGACUCUCAUCAACUGCA